GUCUUCUGUCAGUUUUGCAUAGUUGCACUACAAGAAAAAUGUAGUUGUGCAAAUCUAUGCAAAACUGAUGGCAGCC
rfam:Xenopus laevis strain J chromosome 2L, whole genome shotgun sequence.